rnacentral:rRNA from 1 species
UACGAAGGGUGCAAGCGUUACUCGGAAUUACUGGGCGUAAAGCGUGCGUAGGCGGUUUGUUAAGUCCGUUGUGAAAGCCCUGGGCUCAACCUGGGAAUUGCAGUGGAUACUGGGCAACUAGAGUGUGGUAGAGGAUGGCGGAAUUCCCGGUGUAGCAGUGAAAUGCGUAGAGAUCGGGAGGAACAUCUGUGGCGAAGGCGGCCAUCUGGACCAACACUGACACUGAGGCACGAAAGCGUGGGGAGCAAACAGG